UACAGAGGUCCCAAGCGUUGUUCGGAUUUAUUGGGCGUAAAGGGUGCGUAGGCGGCGGGGCAAGUCAGGUGUGAAAUCUCGGGGCUCAACCCCGAAACUGCACUUGAUACUGCCUUGCUCGAGUACUGGAGAGGAGACUGGAAUUUACGGUGUAGCAGUGAAAUGCGUAGAUAUCGUAAGGAAGACCAGUGGCGAAGGCGAGUCUCUGGACAGUUACUGACGCUGAGGCACGAAGGCCAGGGGAGCAAACGGG
rnacentral:rRNA from 1 species